UGUGUGGCCUGCAGCUGGGGCAAGAGAUGGACUUGAGUAUUUUUCCUGCUUGUGGAAGCUACAGUGGCUGGUGGCAGCCUAGAAGAAGUCGGGGCAUGACCCACAUUGUUAGGACAGAGGCAAGUAAAACAGGACAGAACAUCAUAUUUAGAGCAGCAGUGGAAUGCCAGCCUUGGAUCUAGGAGGAAGGACCUGAGUGUUGGGGAACGAGAAGAGCUGCUCAAACGGGAAACCUGUCUACACUAACAGAGCUGACGUCACAGGUGGCCAGGGAAGGCUGCCUCCAUUAACCAUAUAGAUCUUCCAGGAAGGAGAAUGUCCACUGAAUGCACCUGCUGCCCUCUGAGAGGACAAAGCCAACCUUUGGCAGUACCAACCAUUUAAGAGCCUUCCCAUUCCCCUUUAGCUUCCUUCCUUACCCCCCACGAUUCCUGGAGGGACCAGAAACUAAGUCCCCAAGCUAGUGGAAGAGCAGAAGUGCAGGAUCCACAGGUUUUGCUGGCAGCAACCCAAGCAGGAAGGAGAGGGAAGAAUUACACAAUGAACGGAGGCAGUGUCUCUGACUUAAAGUGACCACAGACCUUUUAUUAUUGUCAUUACCUAACCGAGAUCAGAGAAUGCAAGGAGCAAGAGACAUAUGGUACAACAUGAGCACCUUCAAAGGGAAGUGGGAGCCAACACCAGUCCUGCUCUCCCAGUGUCUUCAUGUUAUCCAGUAUGGACAUGUCCAUAUUUUCAAAGUCUCUCUUGGAGCAGGUUACCCCACUCCAAGUGAAUUGUGUCUUGAACCUAAGCUUUCUCUAUGGCCAUGAUCUUCAAUGCAAGUGGUAACCUAAGAGAAUUUCCAGCUCUUUCAUGUCCCUCACAAGUGACUUGUCUUGACUGGUUUGUUUGUGUUGAUUUCAUAUGCACAAAUAAAGCAUGUGACUUUUGUUAGUA